GAAGACUCCAUUGUUCCACAUAAAGGUCUCAAACAUGCAAGAAUCACAAACAUAUCAAUGAAUGCUUAGCACUUGUAACUCCAGAGAAAUAACUUCUUGUUUAAGGAUCCUGGAGUGACUCAACCACAGAUGCUUCUUGAGAACUAAGCAAUCACCUAUCAAAAUUAUUUCCUUCACCUCUCCCAG